GGAGUUUGGGCCGUGUCUCAGUCCCAAUGUGGCCGGUCACCCUCUCAGGUCGGCUACUGAUCGUCGCCUUGGUGGGCCGUUACCUCACCAACUAGCUAAUCAGACGCGGGCCCAUCCCAUACCACCGGAGUUUUUCACACCGAGCGAUGCCGCUCUGUGCGCUUAUGCGGUAUUGUCAGUCGUUUCCAACUGUUAUCCCCCUGUAUGGGGUAGGUUGCCCACGCGUUACUCACCCGUCCGCCACUCGGUUACAGCUCGUCACCCCGAAGGGAUCGUGAAAAGUAACCUCGUUCGACUUGCAUGUGUUAAGCACGCCGCCAGCGUUCAUC
rnacentral:rRNA from 1 species